GAUGAACGCUGGCGGCGUGCCUAAUACAUGCCAGUCGAGCGAACAGACGAGGAGCUUGCUCCUCUGACGUUAGCGGCGGACGGGUGAGUAACACGUGGAUAACCUACCUAUAAGACUGGGAUAACUUCGGGAAACCGGAGCUAAUACCGGAUAAUAUAUUGAACCGCAUGGUUCAAUAGUGAAAGACGGUUUUGCUGUCACUUAUAGAUGGAUCCGCGCCGCAUUAGCUAGUUGGCAAGGUAACGGCUUACCAAGGCAACGAUGCGUAGCCGACCUGAGAGGGUGAUCGGCCACACUGGAACUGAGACACGGUCCAGACUCCUACGGGAGGCAGCAGUAGGGAAUCUUCCGCAAUGGGCGAAAGCCUGACGGAGCAACGCCGCGUGAGUGAUGAAGGUCUUCGGAUCGUAAAACUCUGUUAUUAGGGAAGAACAAAUGUGUAAGUAACUAUGCACGUCUUGACGGUACCUAAUCAGAAAGCCACGGCUAACUACGUG
rnacentral:rRNA from 1 species